UACGGAGGUGGCGAGCGUUGUCCGAAGUUACUGGGCGUAAAGCGCGCGUAGGCGGGGGAUUAAGUGAGAAGUGAAAGGCUGGGGCUCAACUCCAUGCAGUGCUUCUCAUACUGGUCUUCUUGAGGGGGGUAGAGAGAAGUGGAAUGGCUGGUGUAGCGGUGAAAUGCGUAGAGAUCGGGAGGAACACCAGAGGCGAAGGCGGCGACCUGGACAAGUACUGACACUCAACUACGAAAGCGUGGGGAGCAAACAGG
rnacentral:rRNA from 1 species